AGGGCUCAUUCUAAGCUAAACACAACGAUUCUUAGUUUCAGGUGAUUAUACACUAAUAAAAACACAGUUAUGAAUAUUGUAUUCCAUUUCCGCUAAUAGAUCCCUGAUAUCCUACACACCGGACCUUUAAAGGAACAUUUUAGCUU